AUUGAACGCUGGCGGCAGGCCUAACACAUGCAAGUCGAGCGGAGCGGCGGACGGGUGAGUAAUGCCUAGGAAUCUGCCUGGUCGUGGGGGAUAACGUCCGGAAACGGGCGCUAAUACCGCAUACUAUCAGAUUAGCCUAGGUCGGUUUCGCUAGUUGGUGGGGUAAAGGCCUACCCGGGCAACGAUCCGUAACUGGUCUGAGAGGAGGAUCGGUCACACUGGAACUGGGACACGGUCCGGACUCCUACGGGAGGCAGCAGUGGGGAAUAUUGGACAAUGGGCGAAGGCCUGAUCCAGCCAGGCGGCGUAUGUGAAGAAGGUCUUCGGAUGGUAAAGCACGUUAAGUUGGGAGGCGUUACCAGCAGAGUAAGCACCGGCUAACUACGUGCCAGCAGCCGCGGUAAUUC
rnacentral:rRNA from 1 species